GGUCCUGUGAGGAAAGAUAGAAAUAUAAUGUAUACAUUUCAAGUCGCUGCUUUAUCCCCUAAUGAGUCCAAGCUGUAAGUCAAUGUACUUUUGGAUUGU